AAAAUGCUGUCGUGUCUGUGUUGGAUCUUCCAGAAAUGCACUACUUUUGAGGGAUCCGACAUGCACCCAUUGGCAAUCUUGAAGAGUCCGAGCAACAUAGGUUAAAACUUAUAAACUGCCAAGUAUCAGAAUUUGACUGAGUAACUUCUGAAAUUUUUUAUGUUCUUGCUGAUAGCUAUUUUCCCAAUUCCAACCUCCAUUACCUCCCUCUCUUCUUCAUUCUGUUUCUUAGUUUGGUCAGAGUUUAGAGCGUCAACGGCUUUAGAUUGUGCAUCAGGCAAGGAAAGUUCCAACAGUCGUGGACCUGCAUUGAUCCAUGAGUGAAGAAGGCACUGAGCUGCAGUAGGCCGUUUCUCUGGGACAAAAUCAAGUAUUGGGACCAGAAAAUCAGACAAGUCCUUUGCGUCUUGCUCGCUGAAUUCAUAUUUCUCUACUAGAACCUUCUUUAAGGGCCAAAAGCGCAACCGUCUAAUGUGCCUCAAAUCACCAUGUCUAUUGAAUAAAUCACGUGAAUAACGACCACCCAAGGCAAUUUUUCGUGGCAUCAUUCCUAUAAGCUCCAUCAUCAGUGCUAAGUGAUCCUCAUCUCUG
rnacentral:misc_RNA from 1 species